rnacentral:rRNA from 1 species
AACGUAGGUGGCGAGCGUUAUCCGGAUUGACUGGGCGUAAAGGGUGUGCAGGCGGCUUCUCAAGUGGUGUAUGAAAUCUCCCGGCUCAACCGGGAGGGGUUAUGCCAGACUGGGGAGCUAGAGCGUGGGAGAGGGUGGUGGAAUUCCGGGUGUAGUGGUGAAAUGCGUAGAGAUCCGGAGGAACCCCAGAGGCGAAGGCGGCCACCUGGCCCACGACUGACGCUCAUACACGACAGCAUGGGGAGCGAACGGG